rnacentral:rRNA from 1 species
UACGUAGGGUGCAGGCGUUAAUCGGAAUUAUUGGGCGUAAGGCGCGCGCAGGCGGUUUCUUAAGUCAGAUGUGAAAGCCCCGGGCUUAACCUGGGAACUGCGUUUGAAACUGGGAGACUUGAGUGUGGCAGAGGGGGGUGGAAUUCCACGUGUAGCAGUGAAAUGCGUAGAUAUGUGGAGGAACACCAAUGGCGAAGGCAGCCCCCUGGGUCAACACUGACGCUCAUGCACGAAAGCGUGGGGAGCAAACAGG